GACAGAGGUGCCAAGCGUUAGGCGGAGUCACUGGGCUUAAAGCGUGUGUAGGCGGAUCGUUAAGUACCUUGUGAGAUCCCACGGCUCAACCGUGGAACUGCUGGGUAUACUGGCGGUCUUGAGCCACCUAGGGGCAACUGGAACAAGCGGUGGAGCGGUGAAAUGCGUAGAUAUCGCUUGGAACGCCAACGGUGAAAACAGGUUGCUGGGGGUGUGCUGACGCUGAGACACGAAAGCCAGGGGAGCGAACGGG
rnacentral:rRNA from 1 species